GUAGGGAAUAUUGCACAAUGGGGGAAACCCUGAUGCAGCGACGCCGCGUGAGUGAUGAAGGCCUUCGGGUCGUAAAGCUCUGUCGUAUGGGACUAACACAAUGAAGGUACCAUGCAAGAAAGGAUCGGCUAACUUCGUGCCAGCAGCCGCGGUAAGACGAGGGAUCCUAGCGUUGUUCGGAAUCAUUGGGCGUAAAGCGGGUGUAGGCGGCUUUAUAAGUCAGGUGUGAAAUCCCAGGGCUCAACCCUGGAAGUGUACUUGAUACUGUAAAUCUUGAGUGUGGUAGAGGUUACUGGAAUUGUUGGUGUAGUGGUGAAAUACGUAGAUAUCAACAGGAAUACCGGAGGCGAAGGCGAGUAACUGGGCCAACACUGACGCUGAGACCCGAAAGCGUGGGGAUCAAACAGGAUUAGAAACCCGAGUAGUCC
rnacentral:rRNA from 1 species